rnacentral:sRNA from 1 species
GCUGGGUGCGGUGGUGCACACCUGUAAUUCUAGUGGCUUGGAAGGCUGAGACAGGAAGAUCACAGCCUCAGCAACUCAGUGAGGCCCUGUCUCUA